UUUCAUGAGAGUUUGAUCCUGGCUCAGGAUUAACGCUGGCGGCGUGCAUAACACAUGCAAGUCGAACGAUGAAACUUAAAUG
rnacentral:rRNA from 1 species